GAUGAAGAACGUAGCGAAAUGCGAUACGUAAUGUGAAUUGCAGAAUUCAGUGAAUCAUCGAGUCUUUGAACGCACAUUGCGCCCCCUGGUAUUCCGGGGGGCAUGCCUGUCCGAGCGUCAUUGCUGCCCUCAAGCACGGCUUGUGUGUUGGGCCUCCGUCCUCCUCCCGGGGGACGGGCCCGAAAGGCAGCGGCGGCACCGCGUCUGGUCCUCGAGCGUAUGGGGCUUCGUCACCCGCUCUUGUAGGCCCGGCCGGCGCUUGCCGACACAUCAAUCUUUUUUCCAGGUUGACCUCGGAUCAGGUAGGGAUACCCGCUGAACUUAAGCAUAUCAAUAAGCGGAGGA
rnacentral:misc_RNA from 1 species